AACGCACAUUGCGCCCUUUGGUAUUCCGAAGGGCAUGCCUGUUCGAGCGUCAUUAUAACCACUCAAGCCUUCGCUUGGUAUUGGGGUUUCGCGGUCUCGCGGCUCCUAAAAUCAGUGGCGGUGCCUGUCGGCUCUACGCGUAGUAAUACUCCUCGCGUCUGGGUCCGGCCGGUUUACUUGCCAGCAACCCUUAAAUUUUUUUACAGGUUGACCUCGGAUCAGGUAGGGAUACCCGCUGAACUUAA
rnacentral:misc_RNA from 1 species